CUGAGAAAACAAUAAUUAUAAAUAAAUGUUGGUCUUGAUUUCUACCGGAUACAUAAUAAUUCUGUGACUAUUUUCAUUUCUGAGUGUACUUCCCAUUAAUAUAAAAAGUCACCACUGCAUUGCCAGUUACACCCUACUAACAAACUUGUUUUACAUUACUUAGAAUGGGGUACCGUUUGAAAGGAAUGGAAUAAGCUUGGAAAGCGUCUGACUUCAACGGUUUAUUAGCAAGUGAACAGUUAUGAAAAAUAACAAACUCUUAGCACAGAUAACAGACACGGAGAACUUUGGAAAUGCUAAUUAGAAUAACAAUUAUUACAUUUCUCACUUUUUUGGAUAUUAAGCAUGUCAAAGCUUAUUAUUUUAUACUUUACCAUGCAUUUUCGAAAAAUAUAAAUUACAAUGUUUUUUUAGCUACCUUGUGUUAUACCUUGGACUUGGUGAUAUUUUUAAAAGUUUCUGUUGCAGGAUAACACACGUGUUUAGAAAAAAAAAAGUUUUUGCUAGUUUCUUGUGAUUUUUCAUAAUGAAAACUGGUAGAACUUUCAGCUUCCGUGUUACUAUUAAAGUUAACUGGGAAAACUUUGUCGUCUGUAAGAAGGAGUCAAGGAAGGAGUGAAAAAGACUAUAAAUUUCAGCUAUUUGAAAACCUAAGAUUUCACCUGAUGUGGACCGAUACCAGUCAGCGAUUCCAAAGGAAGGUUCCUCACAAGCGGAAAAAUGUGAAAUUAUGGAGACCUGUUGGUUGUAGCCACUGGGAACGGCACCACAAUCGAACAAUCUAACAAGGUCAUCAUCGUCGCGUGUGGAACUUCAUAUUAGAACGCCGCGUUACAGGGAAUGUGUAAAGUUGGAUGUUCAGCAGAAUAUUUAUAGAAAUAAAUGUCUUUUCAUCUAUUUGUUUCAUUAACUUAA